rnacentral:rRNA from 1 species
UGGCGACCGGCGCACGGGUGAGUAACGCGUAUCCAACCUGCCUUUACUAUGGGACAGCCCGUCGAAAGGCGGAUUAAUACCGUAUGUUGUCAUGUUGAUGCAUAUUUUCAUGACCAAAGGCUUCGGCCGGUAAAGGAUGGGGAUGCGUCUGAUUAGCUUGCCGGCGGGGUAACGGCCCACCGGGGCGACGAUCAGUAGGGGUUCUGAGAGGAAGGUCCCCCACAUUGGAACUGAGACACGGUCCAAACUCCUACGGGAGGCAGCAG